CUACGGGGGGCACCAGUGGGGAAUAUUGGACAAUGGGGGAAACCCCGAUCCAGCAAUGCCGCGUGUGUGAAGAAGGCCUGCGGGUUGUAAAGCACUUUCGGUUGGGAGGACUGCUUCUAGCACUAAUAUUGUUGGAAGUUGACGUUACCUUCAGAAGAAGCACCGGCUAACUCCGUGCCAGCAGCCGCGGUAAUACGGAGGGUGCAAGCGUUAAUCGGAAUUACUGGGCGUAAAGCGCGCGUAGGCGGCUAGAUCAGUCGGGUGUGAAAGCCCCGGGCUUAACCUGGGAACUGCAUCCGAUACUGUCUAGCUUGAGUACAGGAGAGGAGAGUGGAAUUCCACAUGUAGCGGUGAAAUGCGUAGAUAUGUGGAGGAACACCAAUGGCGAAGGCAGCUCUCUGGCCUGAUACUGACGCUGAGGUGCGAAAGCGUGGGGAUCAAACAGGAUUAGAUACCCCGGUAGUC
rnacentral:rRNA from 1 species